CAGCCGCCGCGGUAAUACGUAGGGUGCAAGCGUUAAUCGGAAUUACUGGGCGUAAAGCGUGCGUAGGUGGUGGUUUAAGUCCGUUGUGAAAGCCCUGGGCUCAACCUGGGAAUUGCAGUGGAUACUGGGUCACUAGAGUGUGGUAGAGGAUAGUGGAAUUUCCGGUGUAGCAGUGAAAUGCGUAGAGAUCGGAAGGAACAUCUGUGGCGAAGGCGACUAUCUGGGCCAACACUGACACUGAGGCACGAAAGCGUGGGGAGCAAACAGGAUUAGAUACCCGCGUAGUCCCUGUCUCUUAUAC
rnacentral:rRNA from 1 species